AUGGUUGGAACAAGGGUGGUGAUCAGAAUAGCAGUUGGAACAGUCCUGGAAAUUUUGGAGAAUUCAUGGGGUGGUGACAAUGCUGAAAAAUCUUCUUGGAGGUCUGAUAAUCAGGUAGACAAUGAAGCUGGAGAUUCUGGUGGAUAUAGGGGACGGGGAAGAGGAGGAAGGGGGCAAUAUGGAGGACGAGGAAGAGGCAGAGACAAUGGUUGGAGAAAUGGUGAUGGACCAAAAUGGGAUGGUGGAGAUAAUUGGAACGCUACAAAUCCACCAAGUAAUCAGCCUUGGAGUAGCAGUGGAGGCACCAAGUCAUAUGGUCAAAAUCAGCCUUCCACUUGGAAUAAUUCAGAGGAUAACAAACCAUCUGUAGGUGAACAAGGUGAUCCUUGGGCAAGCAAGGUGUCUUCUACUGAAGGUAAAGGACAACAGAAUGAUUCUUGGUCAAGUAAAAUGACUUCUUGUGGUGCUGAGGAUACCAGAGGUGGCUGGGACAGCAAGGUGAAAGGCUCUUCCUGCAAUGAUGGGGGCAUUAGCAUAAAUCAUAUGAAGGAAGUAGAUUCACAUGCACCCGUGAAGCAGAAGCUACAAUUAUUUCCAAUAAAUGAAGCUACUCUUAAGCCAUUUGAGAAGGUUGAUUUAUUAGACAGCCCUAUUGCCAGACUUGACAUAGAGACCACAACACUUGGAGCCACAUAUGUUGCUAGCUUAGAUGCAGGAGUUUGGACCAAGGAACAAGUAUUUGCAGGUUAGCACAAGGAGAACGCGACAAUCUUUCGCCCAAAAUUGGAUGAGGUGCACAAGAAGAGGGCUGAUUCAUGGUACAAGACGGUUUCAAAAUCAUUCGAUUUGGCUGACCUUUCUCUGUAAAUGUUUCUUGUCGGCAUUGAUCUAUCUGUUUUUGGAAGAUGCAAAUGAAUAAAUUGGUCUUUGCUGCUUGCUGAGAUUGUCAAUCAAGGAAAACUGGUGUCUGAUGAGAUCAUCAUAAAUCUGCUGUCAAGACGCCUGGAAGAGAGAGAAGAAAAGGGGUGAAUUGGGGUUCAUCCUUGAUGGCUUUCCUCGAACCAUGAGACAAGCGGAGAUACUUGAAGGAGUCACAAAUAUUGACUUGGUGAUCAAUCUCAAGCUUCGAGAAGAAGUUGUGGUUGCAAGAUGUCUUGGCAGAAGGAUGUGCAGCCAGUGUGGAGGAAACUUCAAUGUGGCCUCCAUUGAUAUUGAGGGAGAAAAUGGUGGAGCUCCAAUGCACCUGCCUCCACUAUUGCCUCCGCCACAGUGUGAAUCGAAGCUAAUAACCAGAGCAGAUGAUACUGAAGAAGUGGUAAAGAACCGGCUACGUGUGUACCAUGAUCUGACUGAACCAGUGGAGGGAUUCUACAAAGCGCGUCAAAAGCUCUUGGAGUUCAAUAUACCUGGUGGAAUACCCGAAUCAUGGCGAAAGUUAUUGGAAGCCUUGAACAUAGAAGACUCCAACAAUAUGAGAUCUGCAGUAGCAUGAUUUUUUUUUAGGAAUGCACAUUAAAUUAAACAUCUGUAGCUUAUGUCAAAGUUAGUCAAUUUUUCUGAACAUUCCUUAUAUCUUUAGAAAGCACGGUCGAAUUUGGAUUGAGAUUAGAUUAUUUGGCGUAGCACUCUAACUGUACAGUAGAUUUGUGAUCGAUGGGCAAGAUGAACGAAAGCGGUCUGUAAAAGGAAAGAAAUAGUUGUUCGAUGACCAGACAUUUAUUUGUAGCCUGUACCAUAUAUGAACUUGUUGAAAGAGGUGCAUACCAGAAGCAAUUUGAAUC